AUCGGUCGGAGAAGCCGGUUUGAAGAGAUGAGUCGGACGCAGGGAGAGACCGGGGUGGGAGUCCCGAGGAGCAGCGAAGCAGCACGGGGUGUGACCGCUUGAUAGGAUACUCUGCUUUAGCCUCUCUCUCUUUUAACAAACAAACAAAAAAUCGUGUACAACCGUUGUCACCGCUCAGCGCUGACAGUGUAAUCCGCGGAGAACUUGUGAGCUGUCGACCUCGUCGAAAGCUCUGGAAUUGUCAGGAGAAAUUCAGAGAGUUUAAGGUGUGGCUGUCAGGCGUCUGCGUUAGAGAACCUUGCAAAACCAAAUGUUGGUCGUGGGAGCCUGGCCGUCCAGGGUUGGGCGCCCGCCCCUCCUUCUGGUCUUGCCACAAGCCGAGGCGUUUAAACGUGUUCGGUCAUUUUCUUCAACAUCUUACAUAACCAAACGCCUUUCCCACCUUGAACGUUCCGCUUCCAGACGACUUGAAACGCGCGUGGCAAUCUAAAUAAAUAGCACAGGAGGAGAUGGCUUAAUGCUUUUGAGUGCUCUUCUGGGCUUUUCACAAGACCUCCCGAAUGUAACGGACGUGGCAACUUUACAGUAGAGAGCCAGCCACCACAGGCCAACUGGGCGUGGGGUGGAACCGGCCCGAACAGUACGAUCCGUCCUCUCGUAUCGGCUGCGCAUAUUAGAAUCGUGUUGCCAAGUGGUGCAGUGGAACCGGUGGAUUUACCUCAAAGUGCCCACUUGUUAAAGACCAUUUUGAAUUUGCACCACAAGACCAGGACUUACUUCCAGGAGUUUACAAGAUGAUGGAUAAAAAGAGAUGAGUCUGCUCUUCGCCGGCUAACGCCUUCUUCAGCAGAAUGCCCCCUCUGCAGUCAAAUUCCAGCCUGGCCUUUUGGGAGUCGGUGGGAAUCGUCCAGAGACCGCGCUAGAUGAGUGAGCAGGAGCACAUCUCCCAUACAGCAAUCGAACAUCCAUGCAUGAUGAGUCAAAGCUAUAUGGCGCUAAUAAUAAGUUACCACUCUUCAAACGAUUAAGCAAAUAUGGUUGCCUUUGAUUUACUGAAUUAAUGGCAUCCAGGUUUUGGUUUUCACACUUUCUAUGAGUGACCUAGAUAACAAACAGAGGCUGUUGUGCCUCGAGUGUGUGUUGUGUGUGUGUUGCGUGUGUGCGUGCGUGCACUCACACACACACACACACACACGUGCAGACCCACGCCUUUUUAGAGCUAAAAGCUUUAGGGCACAGAAAUUUCUUCAGUAAGAGUACCCACCGUUUUCCAAUGAUACAGUUAGAGACCUAAAUGAAACAACAUAGUUGGCUUAGUUCAGGACGUAACUUAUGGCUCUUAAUUUAUGAGACUUUAGUAAGAUUUGGUCUCCUGCCGGCAUUGGAUGAGCUAUAUAAAGAUUAUUUUAGACUGCAGCACACACCGCUUUAGGGUAGUGUGUGUGCAGAGCCAGCAGUGAGGAGCAGUGGGCCUCUCAGCAGACAGGCUGGAAUGUGGACCAUAUGUAGCAGGCAUCCCAAGAAUGUAACUUGGCCUUGCUGAGCUGACCAACCUAAAGAUACACAGGGGGACAAGGAGGAGGUAAAAGAUAAUGUCAAGAGAAAGCGGUUAAAAGCACAAAAAUAGAUUACCUUCUUGUCGGGAGUGGCGAGACAGGAAGAUGUAGUGAAGUCAAAUGUUGAGAAAGGAAAAAUUUAAACUGAGACCAGUGCUUAAAAUCUUUCUCACCCUCAAAUGGAAUGAUUGUAUGUUUGUAAUUGUCUCUGCAAAGAGCACAGGCACGUCUGUGUCAUCACACGCCAUGACAAAAUGAUUAGUAGUUAAUUCAAACCGCUUGUCCUCACUCCUUAUUGUGCUUGUGUUCCCACAGAUGCCUUAAUCGGUUAGUGACAGAAAAUUAAUGAGUUGUUUGUGAAGAUCCAUCUUGAUCACCGGGUUAUAUAUUACUGAAGGUGGUCCGUUCAUGACAAAAUAUAAUCUGCUCCUAAUGCUGCUUUUCCUUCUCAAAAAUGUUGUGUACCUGCUUCUUCUUUAUUGUGGACUUGCACGGCCAUCGUUACACUUGUCGCCUUCGACAUCAAGAAAGAGCAAAACACUUUUGUCGAGUUCAUUGUCACCGUGACUCAAAUCUUUUGUUUGAACUCCAUAUUGUAGUAAUUUAGCAUGUAAUGAAUAAAUUGGCAAGAACGUUUCCCAUGUUCUUCUGGUAAGUGCGGAAACGACGGACCUGCAGGUUAGGCUUCUCGAACAACACCGUUAAAGAGGAUUUAUUUAUUAAGGUUCGGCUGGUGGACGUUUGUGUGCUGUCCAUUUGUCAAUGUAAAUCCAGUGGACGUGUGGUGAUUGUAUAUUAGGCCGCAAUGUUUUUUCAGCUCACUACCUCAGGGCCAAUGUUGUUCUCAUCUCCGUUAGCUUAGCAUGUCGGGCUUGCAUGGCAUCUGGAUACAGCUGCAUCCAGCACGACAGGAAACACAUUCACACACAGACAAUCACACGCACUCUAGCAUGGUGCCCUUUUUUUUUUCCAUCCAACAUACCUGACGACUAUACUCCUUCCACAUGCAUGCAUAGUCUCAGUCUGCUGGAGUGUGAUGAGACUGGCAUAAAAUGGCAUCUGACCUCCUUUCAGCACUCCUUUCUUUUAUUCGUAGCAUUUAUUCAUCGGAGGUAAAGUGUCAUCAGCUUAUCAUUUCAUCGAGGCGUGCGGUCCGUAAUCCUUUUUAGUUAAAUGAGAAAUUCCGUUUGUAAACUCAAUCAGUAAAAUGAGGGGAUUGAGUCGUUUUAGCACUCUUGUUUCAUUUUUACUCGCAGAAGGUAACGGUUUGGUUCCCACAUUCAGGCAUCCGAUUAAAUCCAUAAGGUGCUGUUACUUUGGGAGUGAGUCGGUAGAGAUCGUGGCAUAUUUAUGCAUUACCAUGAGCAUCUGUGGCAUCGGAUCAGAACACGUAUUUGCUAGUUAGGUCUUUGUGUGGGUCUGAAUUCAGAUGUAUUUUACUGGAAAUUCUCCCGACUGCAUAGGGACAAACUUCCUCUCCUUCAAUCUUUUUUUCUUUCUUCCUAUCGGUGUGCUUCUCAGGAUAUUGCAUCUGAGUCAUACUAGUUGCAAUGCAGCCUUUGUCUGUUUUCGUUCUUAUUGUAUUUAUGUGUGCCUUGCCUGCUAUAGUUAAUCAAAGCUAGAUGUUCAAGCGAUAGGACAUUUCCUUUUGAAGAGAAGGGUGACAUGUUGCAGGCAAACGUGACAAUUGGCUGUUGGCUAACCUCAUGCAAAUGUUUGAAAUCGAACUCGCGUGACACUCUGAGUCUGACGAUAGAAGCUCGGAGGGGAAGGAUGAAACGGAGCAGAUUUAUCAAGCAUGGGCAGCUCUUACUCCCUCGCACGGCUGACAUUUCCUGUCUUUCAGCUAAUAACUCGACUUCUGCAUGGGGCGGGGGGGGUUAUGUACACACACAUGCACACACAUGCACACACACACACAAGAGGAUGUACUCAUGGCGACAAAAAACGUAUACAUAAAAUGAAACAAUGAAGUCUUUGACACAGUUCUUCCUAUUGGUAGGAAGGAAGCCUCACAAAUCUUUAUUCUUUCUGGUCACAUCCCGUCUUCUACAGCUCAGCUCGAUGCCUUUUGAAGCUUUUUCUCUCACUUCUAUAUGAAACGUGUCCUUCACAUGAUCUUACAGCAAACGCAGACACAUUCAUACGCAGACGCCUCAUCAUGCCGCAUCGCAGCAUGACCACCAUGUUGUCGGCUUCACACUUCAUCUCCUCGCCGAGCCGCAAACCAGCUCGCCCGCCUUGCCGUGCAUGCACAUACAUAACAUGCACUAGCUAAGACUGAAAAGGUCAUUUCCGCUUUCCCACCUGCUGACAUCCUGCCAGCUCACGUCACCUCUUCCUAGAGCGAAUUCCAUUCUGCACUUGAAGGAAAUAAAAAAUGAACAGCAAUAAGAGUUUCCUACAUCUCACAGGUUAUAUAAGUAGGGAAUAGUUCAGGUUACAUUAGGAAUGUAGUCAUCUUUGUUGAGAUGUGCUUCUUUUAGCGUCAUGUGCCCAGCCCUCAUUAUACCUUUGCACCACAUCACUUUUUUUUUCUUUUUUUUUUUUUGUGUGUGUCUUUGUACCUGUCUUGCAAAAAACAAGGCAUGGACUUUAACCUCCAGCAUUUACCACUGAUAAAAAUGAACGUGUGCACGUUUGCGCACACAUGCAUUUUAUUCCCUUUAUUCCUGCUAAUCCCGUUCUAGUCCUGCGCGGAAAAGACAACAUAUUGAUCCGAUUUGUAUGUGAAUGCAAUUAGUUGUGCGAAGGCCUCAUGGGACUUGCCACUCAAAAUUAUUUGCACUGCGCUGUGGUUUUAAUGUAGUUUUUGCUAUUGAACCUCUAAGGUCCAACAUGUGUUUAGAUUCGGCGAAUUAAAAAAUAACCGGUAUCGGAAAUAAAACAAAUCGGGUUCAGAUCAGGGUCCAGGUGUUGCCCUUCUCAAUGUUGUGCCACUAGAUGCAAAUUAUAACUGAAAUUGUGAAAUUGUUUUGGCCAUGUGCCUGUUGAACCAUACAAAGGCGGAAAUGCAGCAUUAGAAUCACAGUAACAUCUGGAUACUGCAUUUGGAUGACGAAGUUCAGAGAUCGCGUUUAAAAGGUUCGAUACUGCUGUUUUGACUACAAUUAGUGUGCAAUGGUUUUCUUAAGAACUCAAAAGACCACAGGAAGCAUUUUCAUAGGUGGAGCUCCGAGAUGGCAUUUUUGGGGAAUGAUUCAUAGCACUUCCCAUUCUUUUCAGCCGUGUCAUUCUGUGCAGAGGCGUCUUAGACACGCACUUACUGGCAACUUUUAGAUGUGAUCCUUCAUUGAAUGACCGACCGAGCAGAUUUUCAUCAUACUUGAUCAGUGAGAUUCUAUAAAGAGAGUUGAUUACGGCGCCCGACUUUCUUAUCAGGCCAAGUUAGAUUACAUUAGUUCCAUAAUGUAGUGAUUCCAUUUUUAAACACUCAAAUGCUUUUGCAUUCGGUUAUAUUCAUAUGAAUACAAACUGCCUAUGGUUGUCCUCGGAGUCACCAGCUCUGCGUAAUCAAUGUCUCUUGGUACACUAUGUCCUCCACCCCGGGACGGGUCCGUCUGCGUGUUUGUCUGCGUGCUUCACAUAUUGUGAGUGCUAAGAAAUAACAGGGUUGGAAAUGUCUUUAACAAGCAGCAGCUCUGUCACAACAAGCUGUUAAAUAUGCCCGAGGCUUUACUUCUUCAUUUCUGUACUAAAUGGGGAAAAAACUAUGGCCUUUGGAUUUUUGUUUGUGAACUUUAUUUGUUUGUUUGUUUUCUUCUCAAAUGUUAACACUGUUUGAUGUAAAAUACUCACAUGGGGUUAGAGCUGUCGUGUUCUCUGUGACUGAUAGCGUAUUGUGGCAACCUAUAAGUAAUGAAUCAUAAAAAUAAUUGGGCAAUUAUGAUCUAUCACAUCAUCAAGUUGAGUCUCAUGGGGGGAAACUGUAAUUUAUCUUUCUUACCUAUGCCUCUUUAGUUGAUAAUAUAACAAUAUACUAUAAUUAAAUCGCAAAGAAAGUGCGUAUUUUAAUACACACAACGUGAGACAUCCCAGCUGUCAUUACGUGGACAUUUAAGCAUUUCUGAACUGUGAAUUAGGGUCAUCACUUUCCUUGUCCUUUUUGAUAUCCAUUUUUCCUAGAUAACAGAAUAUCCAUUUUAAUAUAGCCACCCCAGAGGAACGUUGUCUCCUCAGGGUUAACAAAGGCAGAAGGACACAAGCCAGAAGAUGCCUUUGGCUUCCAAUAUGUCACAUGCAUCAUUUGGAUUUUACAAGGUUGAACAGCUAACUUGGAGGCUUUUACCAAAUGAUACUUUUAAAAAAAGCCAAACAAAAGAAAGGAGAGACUUGAGUGUGUGUUGACUUGCAGUUUAGAGCGUUCUAGUGUUGAGCAUAGCAGCAUGGGGUUCGUUGAGUUUUCAGAGGUUACUGGGUUCGCAGGGCUGUGUGCUAGUUUGCCUGAAGGCCCGUCCUUGAACUGAGAGAGAAUAUGCUGCCGGGGAAAGUCUUUUCACAUCGACUGACUACGAAAGUUGAAGCUCGGCCAGCUGACUGAAAGCCAGGCAAGACAAAUCCGGGGCUUCUCUCAACUAUUAUACAGUGCGUAUCACAUAAAGGGAUUCUUGUCUUUUAUUUCUCAAUUUAAAGCCGUAACUAGAGGCCAGACUAGCGAGUUUACGGAUUGUCGUCCAUGUUUUUCUUCAGGUUGCAAUUUGAAAGAGUUGCUCAUUGGCUGACCUACAGCAGUUCUUCACUGGCAAGCUUUAUGUGCUCAUGUACCAACUAAAGCUGCCAGCUGAAGAACUGUUGUGGUUGGCUCUUCCCUGCAAUGAAGACCGCCAGGACCGGAGCGAGAGUACUGGCUGAACGGAGUCUCUCCCUCCAUUUCUUACCACUGAUCCUGCUCAGGGUUAUGAUUGAGCUGGAGUCGAUCCGAGAUGAAUUGGGAACACUGAAAGGCAGAAAGAAGUCCAAUGGAAUGAAGUCCAUUAGGUGUCACAGAAACUGUGUUUCUUCUGCAGCAUGUUCAUGUGCUGAGAUGCAUACCAUGACACUUGCUGUUGCAUGGAACAAAACAUUCCUUCGAGACAGAUUUGUGCAAAUAGAUUUAGAAAAUAGAAAAAGUCCCUUUUCAAGGCGUUCGUCAUUGUGCUAUAAUGAAAUGAGAAUAAGAAUAAUUAUUUUAAAACGGUUCUAUCAAUAAUAUGAUGUAUGACUUGCACAACUGUAUUAAACACCGAUUGCUCUUUCGUAACUGCUUCCACCUUUUUAAAGGCCCCGGUUCCAUCUAAAAUAAAACCGGUCCAAUGGUGUGAUGCUUCCACCAAGCUUCACCGCAGGUAUGAUGAUCGUUUGGUGAUUAAAUAUGUCGCCUUUGUGUUAAAUAGCGUACACAUUUUGGAAUUUUGGCCAACAAGUUAAACCUUGGCUUUUUUUUACCAUAAUAAAAACAUUUCCCCAAAGCAUGUGGGAAAAUGUUAUGUUGCGAUAAAACCAAGGUUCAACUAAUCUGGCAAAUUCCAGCCUAGUAUGUCUCUAGAAAUUUGCAAAUAUUCAACGUUAGAUACUUUCUACUUGAUUUUAUUUGAUUAUCUGCCAUUUUGUCAUGCAACAAAACUUUAAUUUUUAAUAGAAUAAACUUCCCCCUCAAAAUGAUCAAUUUCCAUUGACUAUUUCUUCCUUGUUUUGAUUGUACAAGUCAAAAUGCGUAAUUUCGUAUUUCAGUCAGAAACCUAUUGAUGUUUGUCAUUUGCCUUCUGCCACAUCAUCGUCUUCACGGCCGUCCUGAUGUUUUCCACGUCUUGGUAAGAGUUUCCCUUGAUGACCUCUUUGAGCUUGGGAAAAAGGAUAGAAAUCCCAGGUCGGCUAAAUAGGGAGGUUGCUCCAGCACGGUGAUUUCUUUUCUCGGCCAGGAAGUCUGAUAUUCGGGGCAUAGUAAAACUAGUCCUGCCUCAACUUUCACCUCUUUUUACUCACUGAAUGAAUCAAACUCUACAGGUGCUCUUUGUAGAUGUACUGGUUGAAAAACUUUUCUGACAUUUCAUAGUUUCCUUAGCUUGUGAAUGUUCAUAAUAGAGUAAUUCAAUAUGCUGAUCAACUAAAAAGAAAAUGCAAUUUUCUAGAUGUCAAGACUAGCCCAGACAUUUUAUUUCUCGCCAUGUGAAUACCACGACAUACCUUCCAAACAACAGCCGCCCCCGAUGUGCCGUCAUCGGUAUGCUUAUGCAUUUCCCCAGUUUUGUCAUGAGAGACGCACAGCCAUCCUCCCGUGUGUCUUCCAGACUAGCCCAACUAUAAACACACAGACAAGAAUCUUGUCUGUGACCCUUAGCUCUUAUUAAUGGAACUUCAAGAGAAAGGGCGAUGUCCAGACCAGGAUAUGAGAGUGAGCAUGUCUCUUUAAAGCUGCCAGCCAAAGUCCAACACAGGGAAGGAAUGUUCCGGGGCCUUAACAAAACCAGAUGCCCCAGCUUACGCUCCCUCGCACACAUGGUCUGUGUUGUCUACUCCGAGCAGAAUUCUUACUUGGAAUCACAAAUUAAACCAAGAACUGAGCAGUGUUUUUUUUUUGUAGAUUUCUUUCAGUGUCUUCUGACUCCUUUGGCCUAAUCUCCUUAUCUUGUCUGCUCCUCUUUACCUUUGCCCUUAUGCUUGGAAAGCUUUUUCUCACCCUUCAACACUGUUACACCCAUACACACACACACAGGAAACACCAAAAUGGGAUUAUUGCACUCUCUCGUGUACAUCCUCUUCUGGUAGCCCUGCCAGUAUCUAGCAUUAGGGCAAUGCAACGGUGCAUAUAAAGGUUGGACCUUGACUUUGUGUUUCAGGUGUUUCACCUGCUUGAGCUGCUUGCCAAGGAGUCCUCCAGUCAUUCUACAUAAUUGAGGAGACCUGAAUCAAAUAUAUAUAUAAUACAAUAUCACAAUAAUACUAUUUGACUAUUUAAUAUGACAAUCAAUACUAUUUGACUCAAAUACUAGCUCAUGAGGAGAUAUUUUUGUUUAACAAGAAAAUGUCUGGUUCAUCUAGCAUUCAAGGCGUUCAGCAUAUAAAGCAUUCAGACAGGGGCAUUCCAUUUGUUCCAUUCAUUUCAAUGGUUGUAUUCUGAAUAAAACAUGAAAGUUAUGAUAGCCAUUAGUGGAGAAAGGGCAUUCUGCCAUUUGAAUUUUGGGGCACAGUGGAAUAGCUCCUUCUUUUAUUCUAUAUCUGCAUUUUAGAUUUUACAUAAUAAAGUCUUUCUUGGGCACAUGGGCCACCCCUACAAAGUUUAAUGGAAAUAGGUUUUGUGGUUUCCUUAAUCUUGCUAACUAUCAAAGAAAGAAAGAAAGAAAGAAAGAAAGAAAGAAAGAAAGAAAGAAAGAAAGAAAGAAAGAAAGAAAGAAAGAAAGAAAGA